rnacentral:rRNA from 1 species
UACGUAGGGUGCAAGCGUUACUCGGAAUUACUGGGCGUAAAGCGUGCGCAGGCGGUUGGUUAAGUCUGAUGUGAAAGCCCCGGGCUCAACCUGGGAAUGGCAUUGGAAACUGGCUAGCUGGAGUGUGGCAGAGGGGGGUGGAAUUCCGCGUGUAGCAGUGAAAUGCGUAGAGAUGCGGAGGAACACCGAUGGCGAAGGCAGCCCCCUGGGCCAACACUGACGCUCAGGCACGAAAGCGUGGGGAGCAAACAGG